CCUACGGGGGGCAGCAGUGGGGAAUAUUGGACAAUGGGCGAAAGCCUGAUCCAGCCAUGCCGCGUGUGUGAAGAAGGCCUUCGGGUUGUAAAGCACUUUCAGUGGGGAAGAAAGCCUUGGGGCUAAUACCCUCGAGGAAGGACAUCACCCACAGAAGAAGCACCGGCUAACUCCGUGCCAGCAGCCGCGGUAAUACGGAGGGUGCGAGCGUUAAUCGGAAUUACUGGGCGUAAAGCGCGCGUAGGCGGUCUGAUAAGCCGGUUGUGAAAGCCCCGGGCUCAACCUGGGAACGGCAUCCGGAACUGUCAGUCUAGAGUGCAGGAGAGGAAGGUAGAAUUCCCGGUGUAGCAGUGAAAUGCGUAGAGAUCGGGAGGAAUACCAGUGGCGAAGGCGGCCUUCUGGACUGACACUGACGCUGAGGUGCGAAAGCGUGGGUAGCAAACAGGAUUAGAUACCCGUGUAGUC
rnacentral:rRNA from 1 species